CAGUAGCCGCGGUAAAACGAGGGGUGCAAGCGUUAAUCGGAGUUACUGGGCGUAAAGCGUGCGUAGGCGGUGAGUUAAGUCUGCUGUGAAAUCCCCGGGCUCAACCUGGGAAUGGCAGUGGAUACUGGCUCGCUAGAGUGUGUCAGAGGAUGGUGGAAUUCCCGGUGUAGCGGUGAAAUGCGUAGAGAUCGGGAGGAACAUCAGUGGCGAAGGCGGCCAUCUGGGACAACACUGACGCUGAGGCACGAAAGCGUGGGGAGCAAACAGGAUUAGAUACCCCGGUAGUCCCUGUCUCUUAUAA
rnacentral:rRNA from 1 species